UUCACUUACCAAAACACACGAUGAACACCAAAAUAUUGAAACGCAAAGUUACGACAGCAGAUAAGAGAACAAAAUCGCCAGAAAGGAAGAAGAAAAGAAAGUGGCAGAGAACAAAGAAAAUUGGCAUUAGAUUUUUGGGAAGAGAGAAAAUUUUGAAGAAAAAAUAAAAAAUAAAAAAUAUUUGAUAAAUCUCAACCCCCCACUAACAACUAAAUCUCAACUACCUCAGAAUUCCAACUCCACUGAAACUCUAUCACACAACCGAGCAAAAAUAACAUCCACGCUUGCGCAAGGAUUUGAACACAGGACCUCCAAC
rnacentral:lncRNA from 1 species